AUUGAACGCUGGCGGAAUGCUUUACACAUGCAAGUCGAACGGUAGAGGGGGCGAACCCCUUCGAGAGUGGCGAACGGGUGAGUAAUAUAUCGGAACGUGCCCAGUCGUGGGGAGUAACGUAGCGAAAGUUACGCUAAUACCGCAUACGAUCUAAGGAUGAAAGACGGGGGGAGUCGCAAGACCUCGCGCGAUUGGAGCGGCCGAUAUCAGAUUAGGUAGUUGGUGAGGUAAAGGCUCACCAAGCCAACGAUCUGUAGCUGGUCUGAGAGGACGACCAGCCACACUGGAACUGAGACACGGUCCAGACUCCUACGGGAGGCAGCAGU
rnacentral:rRNA from 1 species